AUUGAACGCUGGCGGCAGGCCUAACACAUGCAAGUCGAACGAGCGGCGGACGGGUGAGUAAUGUCUGGGAAACUGCCCGAUGGAGGGGGAUAACUACUGGAAACAGUGGCUAAUACCGCAUACCAUCGGAUGUGCCCAGAUGGGAUUAGCUAGUAGGUGGGGUAAAGGCUCACCUAGGCGACGAUCCCUAGCUGGUCUGAGAGGAUGACCAGCCACACUGGAACUGAGACACGGUCCAGACUCCUACGGGAGGCAGCAGUGGGGAAUAUUGCACAAUGGGCGCAAGCCUGAUGCAGCCAUGCCGCGUGUAUGAAGAAGGCCUUCGGGUUGUAAAGUACUUUCAGCGAGGAGGCGUUACUCGCAGAAGAAGCACCGGCUAACUCCGUGCCAGCCGCCGCGGUAAUUC
rnacentral:rRNA from 1 species